GACGAACCGUGCAAACGUUAUUCGGAAUCACUGGGCUUAAAGGGCGCGUAGGCGGGCGACCAAGUCUGUGGUGAAAUCCUCCAGCUCAACUGGAGAACUGCCGCGGAUACUGGUUGUCUCGAGGGAGGUAGGGGCGCGCGGAACACUAGGUGGAGCGGUGAAAUGCGUUGAUAUCUAGUGGAACUCCGGUGGCGAAGGCGGCGCGCUGGACCUCUUCUGACGCUGAGGCGCGAAAGCCAGGGGAGCGAACGGG
rnacentral:rRNA from 1 species